GGCCUCGUAGCUCAGCUGGUAGAGCGGGCGUGUACAAAGCGUGGGCAGCAUCUAUGCGUGGGUUCCAAUCCCACCGAGGCUA
rnacentral:tRNA from 1 species